rnacentral:rRNA from 1 species
AUUGAACGCUGGCGGCAGGCCUAACACAUGCAAGUCGAACGAGUGGCGGACGGGUGAGUAAUGUCUGGGAAACUGCCUGAUGGAGGGGGAUAACUACUGGAAACGGUAGCUAAUACCGCAUACCAUCGGAUGUGCCCAGAUGGGAUUAGCUAGUAGGUGGGGUAAAGGAUCACCUGGGCGACGAUCCCUAGCUGGUCUGAGAGGAUGAAAAGCCAGAUGGGAACUGAGACACGGUGCCGACUCAAACGAGGAACCGCAGUGAGAAAUAUUGCACAAGGGUGGCAGGAAUGAUGGAGACAUGCAGCGUGUAUGAAGAGUGACUUCGAGUUCUAAAGUACUUACAGCGGGCAGGCGUUACCCGAAGAAGAAACACCGACUAACUCCGUGCCAGAAGGCGCGGUAGUAC